rnacentral:lncRNA from 1 species
UGAUGGCGAUGACGAUUUUAUUUUUUAUCCUUGGUAGAAAACAUACACCAUUAUGAAUCUAAACAGAUAUAAGUAUGUAUAAAACAAGAUCAAAUCAUAUACUCACAAAAGAAUAAGUAAUUGUAUAUCGAGAACAAAACAUCAAGCAGAAGUCAGUCAAGUGGUAAAAGAAAAGGUGGUGUCAAACCAAGGACUGGAAACCGCGACCGCCCAGCCUUAAAUUAAACUUCCUGCACGCGCUUUGGUUGGCACCCAUGACCCACCUU